UACGAAGGGGCUAGCGUUGCUCGGAAUUACUGGGCGUAAAGCGCACGUAGGCGGCUUUCUAAGUCGGGGUGAAAUCCUGGAGCUCAACUCCAGAACUGCCUUCGAUACUGGAGAGCUCGAGUCCGGGAGAGGUGAGUGGAACUGCGAGUGUAGAGGUGAAAUUCGUAGAUAUUCGGCAAGAACACCAGUGGCGAAGGCGGC
rnacentral:rRNA from 1 species